AGCAUCAGAUCAGAUUGUUCUUUACCUGUGUUAUAUAGUCAACCAUUAGAUUGUUCUUUGCCUUAUAAGAUUGUUCUUUUAUGGUGUACGGUACUAUCUUAGAACAUCCACUACCAUUCAGUUUUAAGUAUAAUAAUAUUGAUCAAAACUAAAACUACUAAUCCAAAAUUAACUAUCAUAUUAAUAAGAUGCAUUUUAUUUAUAUAAAUGAACCUGGCAGCCUUGGCACGUCUCUUGGCUUGUUCAGCAAUUUCAGAGUCUUCAUGAUGGCUGCUGUUGCUCUUAGUUUCUUUUGCUUGGUAAGACAUCAAGCAAAUCUGCACAAAGAGCAGGAAAAGCAGGAAAGAACAUACUUAAUGCAAAAACAGGAAUUGAAAAAAUAAUCUGAAUAAAGUAUACAUUGUAAAGCAAUACAUAAAGCUGAAAAAAUGGUAUACCUCUAUUGGUCUUAACUUCUUUAGGAUCUUUCUUUUCUUUAGCUACCCCAAAAACAUCAUGGCACANNNNN
rnacentral:lncRNA from 1 species